UGCUCGCUCAACGCAGUGACUCGUCGCC
rnacentral:sRNA from 1 species